UUUUUUCCCGACCUUGGAAUGCUUUACAAAGAGAUUUUCACAGGGUUUGUCUGUUCCAGCCUCUCAUUGCCAGACUCAUUCACCAGUUCUUGUAAUUUCUUCUCAGCUUUUCCAGCUGCCUCUCAAUAUUCAAUAUUUAUGAAUUCAAAUCAUAAUUAUGUUCCUAUUCUUUUUGUUCUUCCAGCUUCCCAUUUUUCUUCCCUAGCUGAGUUAUCUGGUAUUUUUUACUGGGCAAGCAUCAGAGUAGCUUUUAUCCACCACUGUACAAUCGUGACCAUAAUUCUCUUUCACUUUUUUUUUUUUUUUUUAUUUUUAGUUGCUCUUAAACCACAAUGUGACUUGGAGAAGAGAAUGGGGUUUUUUUCCCUGACAUUGCAUAAACAGGAGGCAGAUCAAACACUCACGUCCCAUAAAAUUGACCUCUUUAUUUGGAUGCUGUAGUGCAACAGCAGACUUGAAAAAGGCUUUUCCCAGUGAAAAAGGCUUUUCCAAUCUUGACUCAUCAGCUGGUUUGGUGUUAAAAUAUUUCCCCCCUCUGUUGUGAAAUGCAAAGGGCUCAUAGGUUGCCUCCGAUUUUAGGCUUGGUGGACUCUGUACUGUCACAGUCAGUAAUUUACAGUUAAAAAUAAAUUCCUUGGCCUUAGGAAUUUUACAUUUUCACUUAAAAAAUGCAAGAGAGGAAGAGCAAAGGCUUUUUAGCUUUACCUUUUGGAAACUGGAGGAGGGGAAGAAGUGUCCUAAAUGAGAUGUUUUUAAGAUGGCUCCAAACAGCUCUGUGCUUUCCUUGGAUUUGAUGCUUCUCAGCUGCUUGCCUAAAAACCCGAGUCCAGAGCCAGCCCUGGGGUGCACUUAAAGCUGGUUUUAGGUAGGGCAGCCUGAAGACCCCAAAGUAUUUUCUAUGUGUGUUUAUACAAGGAAUUGCUCCAGCUAGAUACAAGUCUUAGAGAAUAAAUAUUAUAAUUAAAUAGGAACUUUAACUAGUAUAUGUCCUUAAUAUGAAGGAACUGUUCUUCUGGAAGGUACUGCUGGAAGAGAGUAUUUAUUUCAAGAUACUGUAUCCCAGUUGGAGUGUAUAUAAUUCCUGUCUGAAGAAUUUUCUGCUCCAAACCCACUUGCUCAUAUAAACACUUUUCUUUUCUGUAGUUGAAUCCCA